rnacentral:lncRNA from 1 species
GUAGUGAAUAAUUUUGCGGUUGUUUCUAAAGAGGUCAAGGGUUUCUAUCAGCAGACACACAGAAGGAACCAUUUUUAGGAUGGUAAUUUCUAUUUCCCUCAAAAACAUUCUUCCUUGGUCCCCACUUAUACUCAGUUUCAUUUUUCAAGGCGGAUUGCAAGGUUCGUGUAAAGCUCACAGCUGCAAUGAAGUCACUGACAAAUCUGUGAAUUACCCUGAGUGCAAAGACAAGCUAGUUCAUUUAUAAACAGCCCUUAGAAUAAUAGUAAACUAAACUGCAGGUGGGAAACCUUCAUAAGAUAAAAACUCAGACACACUGUCCCUUCUUGGAAAGCCCUGGAUAAGAAGUAAACAAUGCCAACAAGUCCCUUAGUGACUUGUCACUCCACUUAAAAUGGCCUUUAUUAAGAGUGAUGACCUCCGCCUUAACUGUAAGACCAACCAACUCAAAUGUAAGUCAAGAACAAGAACAUAUUUCCUUGCAGGGGAUUCUGUGCAAACUCAUAGAUGAUUUGCACCUCUGUGAAAGGUCAUGGCUAGGAGGCCAGGUUGAGGAAACUUGAACAGCUAAAGUACACCCAGGCUGUCUGCUAACUACCUGCAUCCUAAUUACCUGUCUGCUAUCGCUGUGUGACGUGCAGAGCCAUGAGAUAGGAUCUGUCUUCAUUUACAGAUCAUAAAAAAACAAAGCUUUAGACAGGUUAAGUAGCUUGCCCAAUGAAAGCAAUUUCUUCUGACCCUUGUGCACAAUUAUGUCCACAGGAGAACACCAUAUACAUAUAUUGCCCAACCUUUGAACACCAUUUACUCAAGAAUGGCUUUCCUUUCCCUGCCAUGCACAGGCAGGCUUGUGGUUAGCCAGUCCUUUCUGGUCAGUGUGGAUAUAUCUGCUGGGUUCAGGGGUGUAGGGUUAGGGAUCUCACUGUUUCCGCACACCAAAACUGUUCUCCAACAGCUCAGUCAAUAAAAACAGCUGAUAUCGGGGCAGGGGUGGAGUUCUUGGUUCAGGACUCUUCUAAUGUCCUGGACUGCAGAAAAGCCCUUGCCCUUACCCUGGAUAAAUACCUGAGAAUGCUUGUCUCCUUCCCACUCUGUAGGCACUCUUGUCCUCUCCAUUCCCUUCCUUGCCUCCUGAGGAGCUUCUGUGGCCCUGGGCUGAUGUGGGGAAGGGAGAAGGGUCCCCUGCACCCCUGGGAUGGGAACAUGAAUGAGUCUGCCCACCAACCCCUAAGAAAUAUGCAUACCUGUGCUCAAAUUAUGGGGCCAUCAGUUCUGCUAGUCUCAGAGCCCCCUAGGGAGGGCGACCCAGCUUUUACUGGACACCCAGGGACUUUCCCUGGAACCUGCUGUUGUGAGCGUUUCUGAGGUGUAGACAAACAGCUCCCCCACACACCUAGCCAACAACCCACUCUCAAGGUGGGAAACACCAUUCUAAGGACUCGCAUUAACCCAUCUGGAUAACCCUGGGUAAUCUGGAGCAGAGGUCGAAACCACUGAAUGGCUCAGGUACGGUAGAAAAUGCCUCUGAUUGAUUGUUUUGGACAUCGCUGCUAUUGCAACAGAGAAAGAUCAAGCCCCAUCACCUAGAAGGGAUUUCAUUCUUUGCAACAGGAAAGAUAGUUCAGAAUCCAGCGCCAAUUAUUCCCAGAAAAAAAAUACCAUUUGAAACAUUACAAAUGAAAUUGAGUUAUAUAAACCCCCUUCCUCAUCCCUUCCAAGGAGGGUGGAUUCUGCGGAUAUCAAGGGUGACUGUGGCAGACUGGAAGGGUGGGAAAGAGAUCAAAUUAGAGAAAACCAAGGGAAGAGCAACUGCCAGCCACCUAGGAAAAAGGAGAGAGGCCUAGGUGACAGGACCCCGAGUUGGAGAGAAAGACACACAGAGGGGUGAGUCAGAGGAAAGCUACAGAAGGGUGUGCUGGGGACAGGCGUCAAGAGGUGAGGCUGCCUCAGGGAGAGGAAGCACGGGAGGAGACCUGGCCCAGGAGAGUUUCAGAGGCUCCUCCCAGCAGCGUGCAGUAGUACCUCCUCCCCCAAGAAAUCAGGAUUGUGCAGGAAACACUCUCCUACUUCUCAGUGGCCACUGGAGAGCUCUGAACCCAGCCCAGGGUCAACUGCCCGGCACUGUCAGGCAGUUCCUCUGACUCCACAGCACAUUCUAAUUGCAGUCACUGAAAAGGAAAUCAGGACACAGACAUGAGCACGUACAGAGAAAAGACUGUGCCAGGAGCAGGCUGCCAUCUGCAAGCCAAGGAGAGAGCUCUCAGAAAAAAACGAUCUUGCCGACACCUUCCUUUUGCACUUCCAGCCUCCAGGACUCCUGCAAGUGCUCAGAGGACACCCAACCCUAUGAUCUCAGCCAACUCAUGAAGUUUGAUUUCACAACUUAGUGAUGUCUUCCCAGUGGAAUCCUAAAUGAUAAGGAAAAUGGUAUAGAGCCAAGACUUGAACAUUAACAACCCAGGAGCACAGAAACAGCACAGUUAGCUGAGAGGCGUUAUGGAGAGAAGCAACCGAAUGCACACUGAGCGCUGUGAGAAGUCCACGACAGUGGGGAACAGCGCCCACCGUCACAAAAAGAAAGACCCUCGGCAGGUACUUUAGAGUCACGUUCAUGCUGUAAUAUGUGGGGAAGAAAGACUAUUCCAAAUGGAUCUGGCUUUUUAAAACAAGGGAAUUUUCCUUGCUCUUGGGAACCAGCAAAAUCCAGCUGCUCAUUGAACUGCCUGUCUGGAAUCUCACAAAUUUGCACCUUGAAGUUGUUAAUAAAGGACUAAGUUGAUAAUUCGAACAAACCCUGUGGUUUGGAAGUCACUGUUUUUCUGCUUAGCGUUCGACUUUCAAGCUCUUCUUUUGGAAUAGCUCUUCAGGGCAUUCUAUGGAUGUGUAAUAAACCGACAAAUUCCUUGUGAGAAGUUUUAGAAACUGUCAGGUGAAAU